GACUCUGUAGCUCAGUUGGUUAGAGCAUUGCACCGGAAUUGCGGGGCCGGCGCGGCGGUUCAAUUCCUGCCAGGGACC